CCGUUUCUCAUAAUUACUCUGUUUCUCUCUCUCGAACUUUCAUUCCAUGUUCUCUCUCCCUCUUUCUUACGGAGAACCUUUCGGAUCUCAAGAAAAAAAAAAUCCAUGGAAACCAAAUUGCAAAAACAGUUCUUUUAAGUUUGAUUUCGUUUUUGCUGGAACAUGGGUUAUUCAAUCAUAAUAUCGACCAGUUCCGGUUAAUGAAGGUUUGCUUGAUUCAGCAAAACCAGGGGGAAAAUCUUAUGAUGAUUCAACUUGCUUAAGGUUUGAUGACUAUUAGUGGCCUAAGUGGAUACUGCUAAUCAAGUUGGGAAAAUUUCCAUCGCAAGUACUAGAAGCAGAUCGGGAUGAAGUUCAUGUUAUUUAUUUACUUCCUUUUUUUACUUUUUUUUUUUCCUGUAAACUAUGAUGCAAUCACAUUAUUAUUUUCAAGGGAUGUGUCAUUUAUGCAUUUGAUGUGUAUUGUGUAAAUUAAAAAUUCCAAAUGAAAUAAAAUUAAUGCAUCAAA